GGGGCAGUAGCUUAGUGAUGGAGCUCCCGCUUCAUACGUGGGAGGACCUGGGUUCGAUUCCCGGCUGCUUUC
rfam:Toxocara canis scaffold581, whole genome shotgun sequence.